GACGAACGCUGGCGGCGUGCUUAACACAUGCAAGUCGAACGGUAAGGCUCCAGCUUGCUGGGGUACACGAGUGGCGAACGGGUGAGUAACACGUGGGUGACCUGCCCUGCACUUCGGGAUAAGCCUGGGAAACUGGGUCUAAUACCGGAUAGGACCGCACCGUGAGGGUGUGGUGGAAAGUUUUUUCGGUGUGGGAUGGGCCCGCGGCCUAUCAGCUUGUUGGUGGGGUAAUGGCCUACCAAGGCGGCGACGGGUAGCCGGCCUGAGAGGGUGGACGGCCACAUUGGGACUGAGACACGGCCCAGACUCCUACGGGAGGCAGCAGUGGGGAAUAUUGCACAAUGGGCGGGAGCCUGAUGCAGCGACGCCGCGUGGGGGAUGACGGCCUUCGGGUUGUAAACUCCUUUCACCAUCGACGAAGGGUUUCUGACGGUAGAUGGAGAAGAAGCACCGGCUAACUACGUGCCAGCAGCCGCGGUAAUACGUAGGGUGCGAGCGUUGUCCGGAAUUACUGGGCGUAAAGAGCUCGUAGGUGGUUUGUCGCGUCGUCUGUGAAAUUCCGGGGCUUAACUCCGGGCGUGCAGGCGUUACGGGCAUAACUUGAGUACUGUAGGGGAGACUGGAAUUCCUGGUGUAGCGGUGAAAUGCGCAGAUAUCAGGAGGAACACCGGUGGCGAAGGCGGGUCUCUGGGCAGUAACUGACGCUGAGGAGCGAAAGCAUGGGGAGCGAACAGG
rnacentral:rRNA from 1 species